rnacentral:rRNA from 1 species
GACGAACGCUGGCGGCGUGCUUAACACAUGCAAGUCGAACGAAGAGCGACGGAAUCUUGCUUCUAUCAAUCUUAGUGGCGCACGGGUGAGGAACGCGUAAUCAACCUGCCCUUCAGAGGGGGACAACAGUUGGAAACGACUGCUAAUACCGCAUACGAUCUAAUCUCGGCAUCGAGGACGGAUGAAAGGUGGCCUCUACAUGUAAGCAAUCACUGAAGGAGGGGAUUGCGUCUGAUUAGCUAGUUGGCGGGGGAACGGCCCACCAAGGCGAUGAUCAGUAGCCGGUCUGCGAGCAUGAACGGCCACAUUGGGACUGAGCCACGGCCCCGACUCCUACGGGAGGCAGCAGUGGGGGAUCUUCCGCAAUGGACGAAAGUCUGACGGGGCAACGCCGCGUGAGUGAUGACGGCCUUCGGGUUGUAAAGCUCUGUUAAUCGGGACGAAAGGCCUUCUUGCGAAUAGUGAGAAGGAUUGACGGUACCGGAAUAGAAAGCCACGGCUAACUACGUG